rnacentral:tRNA from 1 species
ACUUGGGUGGCUCAGUUGGUUAAGCACCUGACUUCAGUUCAGGUCAUGGUCUCGUGGUUCAUGAGUUCAACUCCUGUAUCAGGUA